UACCAGCACCCCGAGUGGUCGGGACGUUUAUUGGGCCUAAAGCAUCCGUAGCCGGUUCUACAAGUCUUCCGUUAAAUCCAGCUGCUUAACAGAUGGGCUGCGGAAGAUACUAUGGAGCUAGGAGGCGGGAGAGGCAAGCGGUACUCGAUGGGUAGGGGUAAAAUCCGUUGACUCCGAUGAAGACCACCAGUGGCGAAGGCGGCUUGCCAGAACGCGCUCGACGGUGAGGGAUGAAAGCUGGGGGAGCAAACCGG
rnacentral:rRNA from 1 species